rnacentral:ncRNA from 1 species
GGUGCACUUAGCUGUGCUUAAUUGGGAACUGGAGUGUGAAUCUCCGACUGUCCCGCAGCAGUGAACUCCGUUAUGGCUCCUAGACAAAGCUUGAAUGCAUUCGGCUUUGUUCUCGCUAAAUCACGCCAUUGCCCAUUUGGGUGAGAAGGCGCUUGGGAGUGGAGGAAAGUCUGAAGACCAGCCUUUUUCG